rnacentral:rRNA from 1 species
CUACGGAGGAUCCAAGCGUUAUCCGGAUUUAUUGGGUUUAAAGGGUGCGUAGGCGGACUGGUAAGUCAGCUGUGAAAGUUUGCGGCUUAACCGUAAAAUUGCAGUUGAUACUGUCAGUCUUGAGUGUGCAUGAGGUGGGCGGAAUUUGUGGUGUAGCGGUGAAAUGCUUAGAUAUCACGAGGAACUCCAAUUGCGAAGGCAGCUCACUGGGGCAUAACUGACGCUGAUGCACGAAGGUGUGGGUAUCAAACAGGAUUAGAUACCCUGGUAGUCCACACAGUAAACUAUGAAUACUCGCUGUUUGCGAUAUACAGUAAGCGGCCAAGCGAAAGCAUUAAGUAUUCCACCUGGGGAGUACGCCGGCAACGGUGAAACUCAAAUGAAUUGACGGGG